rnacentral:rRNA from 1 species
AUUGAACGCUGGCGGCAGGCUUAACACAUGCAAGUCGAGCGGGGUGAUGGUGCUUGCACUAUCACUUAGCGGCGGACGGGUGAGUAAUGCUUAGGAAUCUGCCUAUUAGUGGGGGACAGCAUCUCGAAAGGGAUGCUAAUACCGCAUACGUCCUACGGGAGAAAGCAGGGGAUCACUUGUGACCUUGCGCUAAUAGAUGAGCCUAAGUCGGAUUAGCUAGUUGGUGGGGGAAAGGCCUACCAAGGCGACGAUCUGUAGCGGGUCUGAGAGGAUGAUCCGCCACACUGGUGCAGAGACACGGCCCAGAAUCCUACGGGAGGCAGCAGUUGGGAAUAUUGGACAAUGGGGGGAACCCUGAUCCAGCCAUGCCGCGUGUGUGAAGAAGGCCUUAUGGUUGUAAAGCACUUUAAGCGAGGAGGAAGCUCUUUUGGUUAAUACCCAAGAUGAGUGGACGUUACUCGCAGAAUAAGCACCGGCUAACUCUGUGCCAGCCGCCGCUGUAA